AUUGAACGCUGGCGGUAUGCUUAACACAUGCAAGUCGAACGAGUGGCGGAGGGGUGAGUAAUGCAUAGGAAUCUACCUUUUAGUCUAGGAAAACUAGCCGAAAGGGUGGCUAAUACUGGAUGCUAAGAGAUGAGCAUAUGUGGGAUUAGCUAGGUGGUGGGGUAAUGGCGCACCAAGGCGACGCUCUCUAGCUGGUUUGAGAGGAUGGACCGCCAAACUGGGAAUUAGACACGGCCCAGACUCCCACGGGAGGCAGCAGUGGGGAAUAUUGGAAAAUGGGCGGAAGCCUGAUCCAGCAAUUCCGCGUGUGUGAAGAAAGCCCUAGGGUUGUAAAGCUCUUUUGUGAGGGAGAUGUUACCUAAAGAAUAAGCACCGGCUAACUCCGUGCCAGCAGCCGCGGUAAUAC
rnacentral:rRNA from 1 species